rnacentral:misc_RNA from 1 species
AAGUCGUAACAAGGUUUCCGUAGGUGAACCUGCGGAAGGAUCAUUAGUGAACACCCGCUCGAGCCCUCGCCCACUGGCAGGGCUCCUGCACCCUUCACAUCCAUAACACCUGUGAACCGUAAGACGUGGCUCCCGGAGCCCGUCUGCCCCUUUACCCAAAUCAGCAGUACAGUAACAAAGUAGAAUAUUUAUAACUAAU